AGUGAACGCUGGCGGUAGGCCUAACACAUGCAAGUCGAACGGCAGCACAGUAAGAGCUUGCUCUUACGGGUGGCGAGUGGCGGACGGGUGAGGAAUACAUCGGAAUCUACUUUUUCGUGGGGGAUAACGUAGGGAAACUUACGCUAAUACCGCAUACGACCUACGGGUGAAAGCAGGGGAUCUUCGGACCUUGCGCGAUUGAAUGAGCCGAUGUCGGAUUAGCUAGUUGGCGGGGUAGAGGCCCACCAAGGCGACGAUGGGUAGCUGGUCUGAGAGGAUGACGGGCCACGGUGGGACGGAGAGACGGCCCAGACUGCUACGGGAGGCAGCAGUGGGGAAUAUUGCACAAUGGGCGGAAGCAUGAUGCAGCAACGCCGCGUGCGGGAUGACGGCUUUCGGGUUGUAAACCGCUUUCGCCUGUGACGAAGCGUGAGUAACGGUAAUGGGUAAAGAAGCACCGGCUAACUACGUG
rnacentral:rRNA from 1 species